rnacentral:rRNA from 1 species
GACGAACGCUGGCGGCGUGCUUAACACAUGCAAGUCGAACGGAAAGGCCUGCUUUCCCUUGUGGAUUGCGGGUACUCGAGUGGCGAACGGGUGAGUAACACGUGAGUGAUCUGCCCCCAACUUGGGUAUAAGCCUGGGAAACUGGGUCUAAUUCCCGAUAGGACUGCAGGGUGGUGCCUGUGGUGGAAAACGAUUUUCUAGUGGUUGGGGAUGAGCUCGCGGCCUAUCAGCUUGUUGGUGGGGUAAUGGCCUACCAAGGCGGCGACGGGUAGCCGGCCUGGGAGGGUGGACGGCCACAUUGGGACUGAGGUACGGCCCAGACUCCUACGGGAGGCAGCAGUGGGGAAUAUUGCACAAUGGGCGGAAGCCUGAUGCAGCGACGCCGCGUGGGGGAUGACGGCCUUCGGGUGGUAAACUCCUUUCGACCGCGAGGAAGCCACCUGGUUGGAAGGGUGGUGACGGUAGUGGUAGAAGAAGCACCGGCUAACUACGUG